rnacentral:rRNA from 1 species
ACAAUGGAGAGUUUGAUCCUGGCUCAGGAUGAACGCUAGCUACAGGCUUAACACAUGCAAGUCGAGGGGCAGCAUGGCCGCAGCUUGCUGCGGCUGAUGGCGACCGGCGCACGGGUGAGUAACGCGUAUCCAACCUGCCCCGAACCGCGGUAUAGCCCGCCGAAAGGCGGAUUAAUCCCGCAUGUGGUCGUGAGAUGGCAUCUGACCACGACUAAAGGUAUUUCCGGUUCGGGAUGGGGAUGCGUCCGAUUAGGCAGCAGGCGGGGUGACGGCCCACCUGGCCUUCGAUCGGUAGGGGUUCAGAGAGGAAGGUCCCCCACACUCGAAAUUAGACACGGUCCAGACUACUACGGGAGGCAGCAGUGAGGAAUAUUGGUCAAUGGGCGGAAGCCUGAACCAGCCAAGUAGCGUGUGGGACGACGGCCCUACGGGUUGUAAACCACUUUUGCGCGGGGAUAACAGCGUGGCCGCGGCCGCGCCUGCAGGUACCGCGUGAAUAAGGACCGGCUAAUUCCGUGCCAGCAGCCGCGGUAAUACGGAAGGUCCGAGCGUUAUCCGGAUUUAUUGGGUUUAAAGGGAGCGUAGGCGGAAUCGUAAGUCAGCCGUUAAAUAGCGGGGCUCAACCCCGUAGUGCGGUUGAAACUGCGGUUCUUGAGUGCACGAGAGGUAGGUGGAAUUCGUGGUGUAGCGGUGAAAUGCUUAGAUAUCACGAAGAACUCCGAUUGCGAAGGCAGCUUACUGGUGUGUUACUGACGCUGAUGCUCGAAGGUGCGGGUAUCAAACAGGAUUAGAUACCCUGGUAGUCCGCACGGUAAACGAUGGAUGCUCGCGAUUUGGUCAUUUAGAUUGAGUCGCCCAGCGAAAGCGUUAAGCAUCCCACCUGGG